AGUCUUCAGAGGUGGCUGGGUUUCUACUUCCAGAGGAUGGAAGAGACUGUCAGGGGCCCUGCAGUAACUGGGAUGCACCCAGAGGAUGCCUCAGAGCCCCGGGCCGCAGUUAAGGUGACGAGAUGCAGCAAUUCUUUAUGAACAUUUCAUUCCUGCUCGCUACACGACGUAAAUUAGAUGGUGUGUUACAUUCGGGCAAUAAGAGAGAUAUGUCACCACGACGCUGGCCCAUUGGAUGGAGAGGGGGUUUGGCGAAGAGCUGAAAGGAUUUCACCCUGAUGUGCACACUACUGAGUGACCCCGCUCACCAGCGGCUCCGCUGAUUGCUUUGCACCUUGCAGACGCCGCAAUUGGCUCAGCCUCUCUGCCCCCCUUGACUCCCUCCCUGGUCCCCAGCCCUCCCCGCCUGGCUUUUUCUUGAAUCAAGAAGAAAGGAGACCUAAUGGAGUCACAAGGUCAUGAAGGGAAAUGGGGUGGGGUGGGGAGGAAGGUAGCAGAGUGAAAAAACACCACCUAAAGCAA
ensembl:lncRNA novel transcript